GGCGGGUUGCCCGAGCGGCCAAUGGGAGCGGACUGUAAAUCCGUCGCGAAAGCUUCAGAGGUUCGAAUCCUCUACCCGCCA
rfam:Micromonospora rosaria strain DSM 803 contig004, whole genome shotgun sequence.